GAUUUAAAAUAACUUGUGAGAAGCUAUGAGUCCAUGAGCUUAAUGAAAAUGUUGUUUGCAUGAUAUACAUCUAUAUGAUACAUAAGAUUAUUUCUUUAUUCUGCUCUUUCAUGUAAAUUAUUUGAGAAUAACAAAAAGAGAGAGAGAUAAAGAAAAGAAAAUGGAUAUUAUUCAAGAGAAGGCAAGUACUCCAAUCUUAAGCAAAAGCAAAACAAGCAUAAUAUAUUCGGCACAUUUGUGAUACUUGUGUGAACAUUCUUUUGGAAGGGAUAAAAUUUGUAAUUAAUUACACUUAAAUAGAGAGAGUUUCAAGUGAACAUUUUAACCUUUCUAUAUUGCUCAUCAUAGGGAUGGUGCCAAUGGGGAGGCUAGUGGUAGUACCCGGCACUAUUUGACCCAACUAUUCGGUGUAGGGCAUAUUAGGGACAGCACAAGAGGGAGGCUAGUGGUAGUACCUCGUGCCCCUUCCAACUCCACCGGAUAGGGAGCAAAUAGAGUAUAGAGCACAAGAAAGUAAAAAUGAAUGACAAAGUAAAUGAAAGUAUAAGAAGAAUCAAGGCAAGCUUUAAUCACUUGGAAACACACCUUAAGAAUGAAAUCAGUGCAAGAUUAUAUUUAAAUAAGGGGAGUUUAUUUGAAAAGAAUUGAUUUUGGUCCUUGACAUGCUUAUUCUUAAUAUUUUAAUGCAUGACUUAACACGUAAU
rnacentral:lncRNA from 1 species